ACUGGGCAUGGUGGUGUGUUCCUAUAGUCCCAGCUACUUGGGAGGCUGAGGCAGGAGGAUCACUUGAGUCCAGGAGUUCUGGGCUGUGGUAUGCUAUGCUGAUUGGGAGUCUGCACUAAGCUUGGCAUCAAUAUGUUCAUCUCCCAGGAGUCAGGGACCAGCAGGUUGCCUAAGAAGGGUGAACUUGCCCAGGUGGGAAAUGGAGCAGGUCAAAACUCUGCUGAUCGGUAGUGAGGUUGUGCGUGUGAAUAGCCACUGCACUACGCCCUAGGCAAUACAGCAAGACCCCAUCUCU
ensembl:misc_RNA Metazoa_SRP Metazoan signal recognition particle RNA